rnacentral:lncRNA from 1 species
CUUAUGUAUUAUGUGUAAUCAUGGCACAGUAUCCUGAAGCCGUCGGAGUCUGUGUGCUGGUGCAAGGUCUGGGACAAAUUUAAGAAGAGAGAGGUGAGCUGGAGCUGAGGGGUGGGCGCGCAGGCUAACAGGAACGUCACCUCUGGAGAGUCUGAGGGCAGGGACGGGUGAAAGGCUCACGGCCACAGCGAAAGAAAUGCUGUUAUCACCCCUCCGCGAAC